AUGGAAUAUGAACACAUAGGCCUUGCUUUUUGUUUACAAAGAUGUUGUGUUAACAUGUUUAUUGUCUUUUUGCCUUAUAAUGGAUAAGUUUUAAAGUGUGGGCUUUGUAGAUAUAUGCAAGUAACACAAAGGAAAAAGCAAAAAUAUGCACAAGCUUUGGAGGAAAGAUGCUAAACUGUGAAUAGUCCGUUUUCAGUGUGCUUUUUAUUCUGGAUGUCAAAGUUUGAUGGCAAUAGUCGUUUGUUGUGGCAUUCAUAUGAGCAGUAAAAAUUUUUAGCUUAUGGCCUCAACAGCAUGUUUACUGCUUGAUGCACUCUCCUGUUUUGUUUCCAGCUUUACCACAAAAUAAUAAAAUGAACAAUACAUGAAAAAAGUAGUAAUGGAUAUGCAUUAAACAUCUUUGAAAAUAGUGGUUUCCUUUAUUAAACAGUGGUGACAGGUAACUUUUCACUGCAAUGACAAAAUAAUAAAAAUGUUGAUAACAAAAAUAGAAAUAUGAUUGAAGAAAAUAAUCCUUAGCAGGCAACAAAAUUUAAAAAAAACAAAUUACCGAAAUGGUUUAAAAAAAAAAAAAACGGGCAAAUGCUACACCAAUGUGUUUCUUCACAUUA